rnacentral:lncRNA from 1 species
UGCCACUCGUUGGUCGGUAGGUUUUCCAGUCGUUGGUCGGUAGGUUUUCCAGUCGUUGGUCGGUAGGUUUCUUAGUAGCUAGUUUGGUCACAGGUCACUUAACAAC